rnacentral:rRNA from 1 species
UGCCCCUAGAACUUGCAAUUAGGGGUACGUCCUGCCCAGUGACAUACGUGUUUAACGGCCGCGGUACCCUGACCGUGCAAAGGUAGCAUAAUCACUCGCCUUUUAAUUGGAGGCUAGCAUGAAUGGAUAAACGAGGGCUUAACUGUCUCUUUUAUUUCCCUAAAAAUUAACCUCUAGGUGAAGAUGCCUAGAUAAAAAUGACAGACAAGAAGACCCUGUUGAGCUUUAUCUUACCAAUAACUAAUGGAUAAUAUUAUAACAACCAUUUUUUAUUCCCAGAUUCUGUUGGGGCGACACAGGAAUAAAUUAAUCUUCCUCUAAAACCAAGACCCCUAGUCCUUCAACUGACCCUUACAAGAUCAAAGGAACAAGCUACCACAGGGAUAACAGGCUAAUUCUUCUUGAGAGUCCACAUUAACAGAAGAGUUUGGCACCUCGAUGUUGGCUUGGGGAACCUUAUAUGGUGCAGAAGCCUAAUAAGGAGGUUUGUUCAACCCUUAAUCCCCC